GUAAAUAGCAAUAUUAGCAGCAUUCCAUCUAGUGCAAAAUAGGUCUUUCAAGCACAGUGGCCAAUGACCCUGGAGAAGUCUCCCAGGAAGGUUCUGGAACAGGUUCUUACAGGAAGGGCAGCUGAGAACAUCAAUGAUUAAAAGGGGGCUGAGGAGAGGAAACUGAUGGACAAAGGAGGUGAGAAGUGGGAGAAAGAAUGAAAAUCUGGAGGUUGGAGGAUAAACAAACCCACAUCCUUGUGGAUGA
rnacentral:lncRNA from 1 species